rnacentral:misc_RNA from 1 species
GAUGAAGAACGUAGCGAAAUGCGAUAGGUAAUGUGAAUUGCAGAAUUCAGUGAAUCAUCGAAUCUUUGAACGCACAUUGCGCCCCCUGGUAUUCCGGGGGGCAUGCCUGUCCGAGCGUCAUUGCUGCCCUCAAGCCCGGCUUGUGUGUUGGGUCUCGUCCCCCUUCCCGGGGGGACGGGCCCGAAAGGCAGCGGCGGCACCGCGUCCGGUCCUCGAGCGUAUGGGGCUUUGUCACCCGCUCUGUAGGCCCGGCCGGCGCUUGCCGAUCAACCAAAACUUUUUUCCAGGUUGACCUCGGAUCAGGUAGGGAUACCCGCUGAACUUAAGCAUAUCAAUAAGCGGAGGA